rnacentral:lncRNA from 1 species
UUUUGCUUUUCAUCACCUGCAAGAUUUACAUAAAAAUCACAUAAGCUGGAAUUCAACAAAAGACCUCUGACUAUGUGAAGAUACGGUGGGAAGAUGACUGUCCACAAGACAGGAAGAGAGCCCUCACCGAGGAACCAAAUUGGCCAGUAUCUUGAUCUUGGAUUUCUCAGCCUCAAGAACCAUGAGAAAUGAAUGUCUGUUGUUCAAGCCACCCAGUCUAUGUCCAUGAGAGCAAGCAUCUUUGUCCGUUUGGCUCACUAUUGGAUUCCCUGUUUUAAAAAUAUCACCCAGCCCAGCAAAAAGUUUGGAAACCUUCAUCUAGAAAGUGGUCUAGCAAAGUGUGGUCCAUGGAUGAGUUUGAUCUGCAAACUGCUUGUUAUUGGUUCAUGACAAGGUCCACCAAUUGCAUUUUGAGAGCUCAGAUAAGCAGAGAGCAAUGCAAUUUGUCACGGAAGGAUGAUUAUGUAUAUGCACUGUCAUGUCUAUUUCCACGCCUAACUCAAAAGAGACACAGGGAGAAAGUGAGCUCAGCCUGGAUAAAUUGGAAGUUGUGAUGACUUCUAGGAAGCCUCAGGAAAAAGAAACAAAGACAACACUGGCCUGCUGCUCUCUGCAAUGGUGGGACUCUUGUGGGACAACUGUUUUAGGAAUGAAGGUGUCUACCCUCUCUAGAAAUGAAAAUGCAAGUUUGGCUGUGGUUAAGUAUUGGAUGGAGGCAAAAAGAAACUGACAUAUUUGCUUCUUUUCAAUUGUUUGAUUCACCCUGAAGGGCAUGGCUGCCUAAUUUUUUUCUCCAGAGAUAGGUGGACAGAUAAAGACAGGAAAGUAACAUCCACAGACUGCCCUCUGUGAAGGUGACAGUGAUGAGAGGAAUGCUUGAUCUGAACAUUGGUAAAUAAAGUGACCGCGUAUUUCCCUAGCCAGGAGAGCAAUCUGGCUCAAAAGAAACGAGAACAAUGACAUUACUGCCAGGCUGCUCCUAAGCCUUUGGCUAUUCUGUUCAGUGCACAUAAAAAGCAGUGAACAUAGCUGUGACCUCCCUUGUUGGCAGUAUCACAAUUCUUUGGGGCUCCACUUUGAGAAAUUGAGACCUACCUACCUUAACCCUUGGGGGGUUAAGCUUUCAGACUGGAAUGAUAACUGAACUAUUCAUUUGCAGUAAUUCUGGGUUUUGUGCAUAUCUUAAAAAGGAAUACCGGGCUUGCCUAUAUUCAUUACAACAUCCUCCCAGCUUUCAAAUCUUCCAAUACAAUGCCUUUUCUCUAGUCUUUUAAGCACAUCCUGUGACUGGAUAUGAUUAUGGGAGAUUUACAUGCAUCCUUGUCUAUUGUAUCAAAAGAUCAGGGAAUAAAAUGCCCAUCAUUAAAACCCCAAAGUGAUUGGAUUGGCAUGAGGAAUGGG